UACGAAGGGGGCUAGCGUUGCUCGGAAUCACUGGGCGUAAAGCGCACGUAGGCGGCUUUGUAAGUCAGAGGUGAAAGCCUGGAGCUCAACUCCAGAAUUGCCUUUGAGACUGCAUCGCUUGAAUCCAGGAGAGGUGAGUGGAAUUCCGAGUGUAGAGGUGAAAUUCGUAGAUAUUCGGAAGAACACCAGUGGCGAAGGCGGCUCACUGGACUGGUAUUGACGCUGAGGUGCGAAAGCGUGGGGAGCAACAGG
rnacentral:rRNA from 1 species